AUUUACAUAAUAUAAAAAUUAUAUUUGACUUCCAAUCAAAAAAUCUAAAUAUUUAGUGUAAAUA
rnacentral:tRNA from 1 species